rnacentral:rRNA from 1 species
CGUCUAGGCGGAUCGGUAAGUCGGCUGUGAAAUCCCUCGGCUCAACCGAGGAAGUGCAGCCGAUACUGCCAGUCUUGAGGGCGAGAGGGGAGAGUGGAACUCCUGGUGGAGCGGUGAAAUGCGUAGAUAUCAGGAGGAACGCCGGUGGCGAAAGCGACUCUCUGGCUCGUCCCUGACGCUGAAGCGCGAAAGCUAGGGGAGCGAACG